UGGGGAAUUUUGGACAAUGGGCGAAAGCCUGAUCCAGCAAUGCCGCGUGUGUGAAGAAGGCCUUCGGGUUGUAAAGCACUUUUGUCCGGAAAGAAAUCCUUGGCUCUAAUACAGUCGGGGGAUGACGGUACCGGAAGAAUAAGCACCGGCUAACUACGUGCCAGCAGCCGCGGUAAUACGUAGGGUGCAAGCGUUAAUCGGAAUUACUGGGCGUAAAGCGUGCGCAGGCGGUUUGCUAAGACCGAUGUGAAAUCCCCGGGCGUCAACCUGGGACUGCAUUGGUGACUGGCAGGCUAGAGUAUGGCAGAGGUGGGUAGAAUUCCACGUGUAGCAGUGAAAUGCGUAGAGAUGUGGAGGAAUACCGAUGGCGAAGGCAGCCCCCUGGCCAAUACUGACGCUCAUGCACGAAAGCGUGGGGAGCAAACAGGAUUAGAUACCCUGGUAGUCCACGCCCUAAACGAUGUCAACUAGUUG
rnacentral:rRNA from 1 species